GGAGGGUGCGGCUCAGGCGAAAGAAUGAGGGGCGGGUUCCCCUCCUGAUCUCAGAGAAGCUCCCAAAAGGGCAGCGGCGUGCCCACCUGCCGCCACCUCGGGCGGCCGCGAACCAUUCAAAUCGCCCGCGCCAAGAGCUACCCGGCGCUCGCGAUUGGCUGAGCCGGACCAGCGCCCCUGGGCGGGGCCGGCCCCCUCGCAGCGGCCGCGGGUCCCGCCCCCACGCAGGGGCCGCGGGUCCCGCCCCGCUGGUGCGCAUGCGCGCAGUCCCCAGAGGAAAGAGUCUGCGCACACCCCCGCCCGGCCUCCGACUCGCGCCGCGGCUCCCUCCCCUGUCCGCGGAGGCUUGUCGGCUCGGCGAGACAGCAAGAGCUGCGGCCGGCAGGGGGCUGUGCGGACCCAAGGCGGCUGCGGUGGCGCCGGCUUGUGGAAAAUGCCACCAGGCAGCGCUUCGGUUCGUUGCUCGUGUGACGGCCGUUCCCCCCCCACAUCCCUGAACCCCCUGCGACCGCCGGGGAAGAACCGGCCCGCGCAGUGAGUACCGCACCGAGACGCUUCGGCGGGAACGAGGCCGACGGCCGGCUGUGCCGGUUGCGCCCCUGAGAAUUACCAAGGAGUUGUUAAAAAUGACCGUAUUUUCUACCUCUGAAUGAAAUUAAGCAAAGACCGAAGUACGAAAAGGUCAUCGAAACAAGAGACUAUAAAAGAAACCUGAGAAUAGCGGUACACUGCUAAUGAUAGCCUAAAAUUUAAUUUAAAGUCAGUCCUGAAACUGUGUAAUGGUUAAGGAUUGAGUUUCUAUCCUCAUCCACAUGUUUAAAGAAUCUUCUGUAUUGGCUAUCUCUAACCAAAUUAGUGGGAAUGGGAGAGGGCGGGGAACAGCUGACUAAGAAUCUACUCAUCUAUAGUCCUUUUAUCUUUUCAUUUAGAAGGGUAAGCUACUGAAUGUCAUAUAUAUAAUGCGGUACAUAAAACGUGAUAAAUGCUGCACCUAACACACAAAGUCUACAAUAGACCAUAGAUCUACAAAGGACUAUGAUCUAUGGAUCAGAACUAGCAGAGUUAACAUCAACCCAGUUCCUAGCAAACGUUGCUAACUUAUGGCCAUAGCUAUCAUUUCAGGCCCAAUACCCCCUUUAUAAAAGCAAAUAUUCUGUAGACCCCCUUCCCUUCCAAAUGAGGCACUCUAUCUUCAAGUAUAAUUUUUAAGUAAAUUUAAAUCAAUUUAGAAUAAUGGAAUAUAUGUUAUUGUACAUUCAUAACUAUACUAUAUUCCUAUUCCUACACCCCGCUUAAUUAUAAUAAGUAAGUUAGGAUCAGGGAAAGCAAUAUGAGAAAUUAUCCCACACGGGAAGUUCAGGAAAAAUGAAA